UACGUAGGGUGCAAGCGUUGUCCGGAAUUAUUGGGCGUAAAGAGCUCGUAGGCGGCUCGUCGCGUCGUCCGUGAAAACCCGCGGCUUAACCGCGGGCUUGCGGUUGAUACGGGCGGGCUAGAGUUCGGUAGGGGAGACUGGAAUUCCUGGUGUAGCGGUGAAAUGCGCAGAUAUCAGGAGGAACACCGGUGGCGAAGGCGGCUUCUUGGCCUGUUCUUGACGCUGAGGCGCGAAAGCUGGGGGAGCAAACGGG
rnacentral:rRNA from 1 species